rnacentral:rRNA from 1 species
AGCAGGCGCGUAAAUUGCCCGAAUCCUGACACAGGGAGGUAGUGACAAGAAAUAACGAUACAGGGCUACAUCUAGUCUUGUAAUUGGAAUGAGUACAAUUUACAUCUCUUAACGAUGAUCAAUUGGAGGGCAAGUCUGGUGCCAGCAGCCGCGGUAAUUCCAGCUCCAAUAGCGUAUAUUAAAGUUGUUGCAGUUAGAACGCUCGUAGUCGGAUUUCGGGGCAGUCCGACCGGUCUGCCGAUGGGUAUGUACUGGUUGGAGUGUCCUUUUUGCCGGAGACCGUGCCUACUCUUAACUGAGCGGGGGCGGGAGACGGCACUUUUACUUUGAAAAAAUCAGAGUGUUUCAAGCAGGCAGCUCGCUCUUGCAUGGAUUAGCAUGGGAUAAUGAAAUAGGACUUUGGUGCUAUUUUGUUGGUUUCGAACACCGAAGUAAUGAUGAGAAGGGACAGUCAGGGGCACUCGUAUUCCGCAGAGAGAGGUGAAAUUCUCAGACCCGCGGAAGACGAACCACUGCGAAAGCAUUUGCCAGGGAUGUUUUCACUGAUCAAGAACGAAAGUUAGGGGAUCGAAGACGAUCAGAUACCGUCGUAGUCUUAACCAUAAACCAUGCCGACUAGGGAUUGGAGGAUGUUCACUGAUUGACUCCUUCAGCACCUUACGGGAAACUAAAGUCUUUGGGUUCCGGGGGGAGUAUGGUCGCAAGGCUGAAACUUAAAGGAAUUGACGGAAGGGCACCACCAGGUGUGGAGCCUGCGGCUUAAUUUGACUCAACACGGGGAAACUUACCAGGUCCAGACAUUGUGAGGAUUGACAGAUUGAGAGCUCUUUCUUGAUUCGAUGGGUGGUGGUGCAUGGCCGUUCUUAGUUGGUGGAGUGAUUUGUCUGGGUUAAUUCCGUUAACGAACGAGACCUUAGCCUGCUAAAUAGUGACGCGAACUCUUUGUUGGCGGGCCACUUCUUAGAGGGACAACUUGUCUUCAACAAGUGGAAGUUUGAGGCAAUAACAGGUCUGUGAUGCCCUUAGAUGUUCUGGGCCGCACGCGCGCUACACUGAUGCACUCAACGAGUCUCCACCUUGACCGAAAGGUCCGGGAAACCUUCGAACUUGCAUCGUGAUGGGGAUAGAUUAUUGCAACUAUUAAUCUUCAACGAGGAAUACCUAGUAGGCGCAUGUCAUCAGCGCACGUUGA